GUGGGGAAUAUUGGACAAUGGGCGAAAGCCUGAUCCAGCCAUGCCGCGUGUGUGAAGAAGGUCUUCGGAUUGUAAAGCACUUUAAGUUGGGAGGAAGGGCAGUAAGUUAAUACCUUGCUGUUUUGACGUUACCGACAGAAUAAGCACCGGCUAACUUCGUGCCAGCAGCCGCGGUAAUACGAAGGGGGCUAGCGUUGCUCGGAAUUACUUGGCGUAAAGCGCGCGUAGGUGGUUUUGUAAGUUGGAGGUGAAAUCCCCGGGCUCAACCUGGGAACUGCCUCCAAAACUGCAUGACUAGAGUACGGUAGAGGGUAGUGGAAUUUCCUGUGUAGCGGUGAAAUGCGUAGAUAUAGGAAGGAACACCAGUGGCGAAGGCGACUACCUGGACUGAUACUGACACUGAGGUGCGAAAGCGUGGGGAGCAAACAGGAUUAGAUACCCUAGUAGUCC
rnacentral:rRNA from 1 species